UGAGGGAUAUUGGUCAAUGGGCGCAAGCCUGAACCAGCGACGCCGCGUGGGUGAAGAAGGUCUUCGGAUCGUAAAGCCCUUUUCCCACUGAAGAGGAAGGACGGUAGGUGGGGAAGAAGUCUCGGCUAACUACGUGCCAGCAGCCGCGGUAAAACGUAGGAGACAAGCGUUAUCCGGAGUUACUGGGCGUAAAGGGCGUGCAGGUGGCGUCUUAAGUCUGUUGUGAAAGCGCCUGGCUUAACCGGGCGAGGCCAAUGGAGACUGGGAGGCUGGAGGACGGCGGAGGGGUGUGGAAUUCCGGGUGUAGUGGUGAAAUGCGUAGAGAUCCGGAGGAACACCAGAGGCGAAGGCGGCACUCUAAGCCGUACCUGACACUGAGACGCGACAGCACGGGGAGCAAACG
rnacentral:rRNA from 1 species